rnacentral:rRNA from 1 species
UACGGAGGGUGCGAGCGUUGUCCGGAAUCACUGGGCGUAAAGGGCGCGUAGGUGGCGCGGCAAGUCAGCGGUGAAAGCCCGAGGCUCAACUUCGGGUCGGCCGUUGAUACUGCUGUGCUUGAGCACUGUAGAGGCAGGUGGAAUUCCGGGUGUAGCGGUGGAAUGCGUAGAGAUCCGGAGGAACACCGGUGGCGAAGGCGGCUUCCUGGACCGACACUGACGCUGAGGCGCGAAAGCUAGGGGAGCAAACGGG